CUGCUACGUGCUGCGCUGGCCAGAGUGAGAAUAUUACCAUCAGGAAUGGGUGCAUGAGAAUUUUCACCUUCUGAAAUGGAGAUUUGUGAUCCCAUGACUUGAACACUUCCCUUUCAGAAUCUGUCCACUUUGGGCGUGCAGGAGGAGCAGAGCACUCAGUAUUGGAUGCAUCACCACCUUAAUUUUAUUUUGAGGAGACUUUCCAUACUGAAAACAUCUUCCUUUCAAUGUUUUCCUUACUUUCCCAAGAGCUGAUCUAAAUUUUAUUAAAGAUAAAACACUUUUACCAAAGGAACCCGUUAAACCUGUUAGCAAGCAAUACACAGGGAAGCAACUUGGCCACAUGGUGGAGCUUUCUGCUCUCUCUGCGGGAAAAACGGCCAGAAGAGCUGACUGCCAGCAUCCUCCAGCAAAGAGGGAGAUACUAAGUCCUAGAAGUCCUUCCAGAGUGGAUAUUAAGACAAAGAGCUUUUGGCAUUUGUGCAGACUUGAGGGAACAUCUGUGUUUGUGAUGGCAGAAGAUUCAUUGUGUGAUAAUAUAAAUGAAGCCUCAAAGGAAAAUCCUUUUGCUGAUAAAAAAAAAUCUUGUAGCUAAAACAUUAUGCCGCCAGUUCCUCUCAUCACCAGCCUGGUCUACGUUACAUCUAGAGGUAAUCAGCUGGAUUUGUUUUCCAGGCUAAGGAUAUUGUGUAUCUUCAUUAUGCACUGGUGACUCUGAGGGUUUGUGGACUUUGUCUAGGUAGAACUUCUGAAUCCUGUUUUAAUACUGCAAACACUGUAUACACUUGGGUGCCUUUCACUGCGUUCUUACCAUAUAUUUCAUGUGCUAACGAACAGAAAUGGGCCACAAGACAAAUGCUAAUGAGCAUGUUGGCCACUGAAAGCAACAUUUGGUUCGCUUUGCCUCCUUGGUGUAAAGAGAAAGUUUGCUCCAAAUUCCCUGUGGGAAAACUACAGGGAGCAGCUUUCCCCAGAGAACAGAUGGAUGGAUUUUGGUGAAGCCUUUAAAGUCUGAUCUUGGGAAGACUAAAGGAGUUUUGGGUCUGAAUAAGGAAAUGAGGAGACAAGUUUAACAGAGGAAGCAGGUACAUUUCCAAGGAAGUGAGGAGGGGACCAGCCAGAGCUUGAAGGAAACAUCCUGUAAAAGGCACAGGCUGUGAAUGAACUACUGCAGGGGGAUCCUGUGGCCCUUAGGCUCUCAGGCAGUUGUUACAUGGUACCAUAAAUCCAUGCUACAGUCGAAAGGGAUGAGCCCACCCGACUCCCUGCAUUCCCCUGGUUCAUUCCCACCACCUCUCUUGCGUUCGCAGUAAGGAUUAUGCUGCUGAAUGGUAGCUGAAUCAAAGAACCGAUCUGCUGAAAACUAAUCUGGAAAGUGGGGAAAGGCAGAAGAUUGUCAGAAGUAUUAUGCAGAGGUGCUGAAUUCAAGCGAUCAUGCAAUCACAGCCUCAUACACCUAGCUUUUCUAAGUACUGCAUUGAUGCAAUAUCCUGGAGAGCAAGUGGAACAAGCACAUCUCUUUGCAGACAAUAAUUAGAACGGCUGUGUUUGGGGUUUUUUCCUUGGACAAAUGAUGAUUGUUGUUUGCUAAUGAGUUAACUGUUGUGUAUCUAAACAACUUCCUAGGUGAUGCAGUAAUAGAAUUAAUAACAUUCCUCAUGCAAUGAAUUAAGCUGGUCUGGAUUUCCUCCCAUUUUUUGUGAACAUUGGGUUUGUGAAGAGGUUAGACAACAAAUGCCAGAGAACUAUACUAUUUCAAUGCCAAAGGCCCUCUAAAAUCGGGGUGCAAUUUUAGGCUGUAAAAUUGAGUGGCUGUUACAAAAAGCAAGGAAACUAGAACACAGAUUUUUAUGGAUAACUGCUCCAGCCACACCCCACGUGUCCCAGGCUUUUGCUUUGUAAGACUUUCCCAAGUAUCAUCACUCUAGAAAUUCUUAGUCAAUCAGAACUGUUUCUUGUAUUUUUAAUACACUUUACAUUAAGUGAUAGUGUCACUUCUUUCUUCUGACUCUCUACCUUUAACCAGUUGAUAUAGCCUAAGCGUUCUUCUAGAAGGGGAAAAGUAUGAUUUUCUGAAUCCCUUUAGUUUGAGACACAGACAGAAUUCAGGUCUUGUAUUUCCUCAGCGCAUGCUUUCAACAUUAGGAUCCUGGACAAAAUUAUCAUAAUCUUUUUCAUAUUCUUUUAAAGGAAGGUGGUUGUGGUCACUCUGUGUGAGGAGCUCAGUCAUGUUGUUCCAUGCUAGGCAUAUGGGAUAAAAAUCUGCGGGGGCUUAGGCAUGGCAUAAACAUGUAGCACCUCAACUCUCACAGAUGGUAGAAGAUCUGGGGAGAAACAGGGACUGUCUGAAGAACUUGACCAAUGUAAAAUCAAGCUCUCAGAGAUCAGGACAAAGUUUAGAGGCUUGACUAUUGGUGCUCAGAAGCCCUUGCCUUGGCUGAAAAAACUGCUGACUGCUCUGUUUCAGUUCUCCUUAGCUGAAGAACUUCAUCAUAUGCAUUUCAAAGUGACGCUGAGCUCUGACUGAAGGUGUGGUUUUGGUGAAUAUUAGAAAUGGCGCAAAACAACAUUCUAAUAUUUAGAGGAUAAUGACAACCAACUUGAAUUGAACCAGACCCAAACUUUCUGUGUUUCAAAUGUUGACAGUUCCUCGAUUCCUCACCCUGGGACAAAAUGAGACAAUCUUAUAGAAGAAUGUGUUCCCAAAGACCCUUAAAAUCACUUGUGCAAAUUCAAGGUUUUCAUCUCAGUCAAAAAUGAAAAAACAACCCCAAGCCCUGACUAUUCAGUUACUUUCUGGCAUUGUCAAUCCCUUGAACUCUUCCUCUUUUCUUUGAAAAUGUGAAAUUUCUUCCUUUAUUUUUUUAAAUGUUCUAAAAUUAUCUUCUUCAUUUUCACCGAUUCCUAGGUCUGGCUUGUAAUGACUUACGUAAGUCUGGAAAAUAAUUUGGUUACAGUGCUUUCAAAAAGGUCUCUGGUGAAAUGCAUAUGUCCGUAGGAUGCACGUCAUACUGGUGGAUAGACAAAGCUGUACAUAAUACAGAUUCCCUCUCAGCAGAAGCAGUGACAGCCUAUGACACUUGAAAAAUAAGGGUUUUUUUACAGUGCCUAAUUACUUUCUUGUCACCCGAAAGCAGAGCCCUGCGAGUCACAGGGGCAGUGUGUCUUGCAAACCAGGGCAGUGCUGCAAGCUGUGCGCCUCAGUUGAAUGGGCUGUAAAAGCUGUUGGGGCUUGUUCUCCCCCACCAUGGGUGCUUGGCUUGUGGCUACUUCUGUUUAUCCUUAGCCCCUCUCUGCUCCCCUUCUGUUUGUCCUUAGCCACUCUCUUAGCAUUAGGCUCUAAAACGCUCUUGACAAUUUUCUGAAUUCAAUAUAUUCUGUUGUGGAUUGUACUGUCAUGUAAAUGUAUAUUUUAAUAGUCAUGAUACUCAUCCAAGAAUAAAAAUAGUCAUGAUGAUGUAAGAUCAGUUAACUGCACAGGAGGAGCUUUUUAAAUGGAAUAUUUUUUGUGGGGCAUGUGAAUUCACAAACAAAAGUGAACCACAAUGGGAGUAUUCCCCUUGAUCCAAGUCUGAUAAAUGUCAGCAAGAGUUAUGAACAUGCUGAAAUUGAAGACCAAAACCUACUGCAUGAAAUUAAACUGUCCAAACAAUCUUAUGGGGAGACAAGGAUUUAACAGAGUUCAGUAGAUCAAUUUUACUCUCAGUAAGUGAAGACAAUGGCUUUGGCAUUGUUACCCUGGAAAUCCCAUAACUGCUCUUACGUCCAGCUGCACAUCUAUAAUAUGUCUGGGGACUAAACAGGUGAACUGAGAUUGUAAUCUGAGAAUGGAUGCCUUUCUUUGAAGUCCAGCUGGGUUGUCCUUUGAUCUUAGUUCUUUCAGCUCUAAAAGUAAAGGUCCUCAAACUAAAAGGAGUUUCAGUAUUUUUACGCAAACUUGGAUGCUGUACAGCAUAAUCACCUAUCACUGGUUUCUAUGCGGUUGAAUGCUUUUAGCACUAAUAAUUAGUUCACUUAAAGAUCCUUUUUUCAGUGUUUCCAAAUACUUUUUUCCCCCCACCUGUUUUAUGUACCUAAGAAUCUGGAGGGGUAAUACUCUUUUUUUACAGAGAUGACUGGAAAACUCAGUACUUUCUGAAUUUUUACCUUGGAACAGGGUUCAGCAAUGUUGUGAACCUCCCAAGCAGGGAGAUUUUGAAAAGGUCCCAGAGUUUAACUGCAGUGCUGGAAAGAUGGGUAAAAUUUAAACUGAAACUCCAUGGGAAUGGACAAGCAUGCAGAAUAUAGCCGACUGUUUGCCUGAAUUUUCAAUAAGCAGAGUUCACUAACCCAGCUUUUUCCUGGAUAAGUGUUUGAAAAUGCAAAAUGAUCCUAUGGAUCAAAUGUGAGGCUUCCUAUUACGCACGGAGAGCUGCCACUAUAAGUUUUGCAGUAAAAGGUUAAUGUCCUGUUUUACAUCCAGUUAAUGGCAAUUGAAAUCAAAUCUAUAACCCCUGUAGUAUUCAUUCAGCGUAAAACAAACCCCAGUAGGUUUCUGGAUUCAAUAGAGCAUAUUGAAAUGGGCAGCUGGGUGUUCUGGUUGCUAAACUGCUUGCUGAGUUGAAAAGCAAAACCACAACCCUCUUUGUGAUCUGAGUUAAUGUUUGAGUUCUUUAAAGAGGCCAUUGCAGGGAUCGUGGGCAACGGAGGAUGCCACCAACUUCAGUGAUAAGCUAUUGAAGCCUGCUUUCUAUUUUCUCUUAUAAAGCACUCUGCAUCCUUCUGUCAGAUGGGCUCUGAAUUCAUGAGUCUCUUGCUGCUCGUUGUGCUUUUAGUGUUUGGUAGUAACUUCAUAUUACGUAUGUGACUUCAGCACUGGCAGUAUUAGAGCUAUAUAAAUGUCAGGUUUAAAUUGUCCCUUUGUUUUUUAGACUUUAGGCUUCCUUCUAACAAAGGGAAACAAUUUAUCUUCCUUGCUGACAUGAUAAGAUAUACUAGCUAAUUAAGUCUAUGUAAAUCAUUAAUGUUAGUAUUUUAAUGUUUUUGGUAGUGCUAUACCACCAUCAUAUUAAAGGAUACUGCUUUAUCUGUGAAAUGUAGUAAUCCCUGGGAGCUACCAAUGAAGUUAAGGCUUAAUCUCUCCACUGUGGUUCCUUCAAAUGAAAACUAGGGCAUCCAAAAGCUCAUGGAAAAGUAUGAAGUAGGAACGGUAAUACAGAGGGAGAAACAGCUGUGUUUUUCUCCUGUAGUUUUUGGUGAUCUAGCUUAUGCUCUCUGGGGGAUUCAGGACGUUACUGUGUCAAAACCCACUUUCUGGGUGUAGGGGAAUUUUCCUUAGCGAGAUGUCUAUCUGCAACAGGAGUUUAAUGUUUCUGCACGUAACUGGACUAAGCAGGCAGCUAAUGGAUUUUAGUAGAUUGGCCUGACUAGAGAGGCACUUAUUCUCAUGAGCUAAGGCAGCAGAAUCCGGCCUCCAGUGCUGUGCCACUGGCUAAGAUGCAAAGGAAAAUAACUAACUACAACCAAGGAAAUACAUUUGAACUGACAUAUUAUUGCUUUUAAAUUACAAAAUUGAAAGAAUAUCUUGUAGCAGGUCAAAAAAAGUGUGAUGUGGGCGUGUUUGCAGUACUCUGAGCAUCAAAGCUUUAAAGGGCUUUCCUGGCAUUCAGAAUCGUUCCUCUGUUUUUUCCAGCUGGAACAAGGUGACAAGCCUUUUAAUGGAGAUGUGUUUCUGGGCUGAUACCCAUUCCUUCUGGCUGUUUGCUUUCACUUGAUGAAUGGUCUGACACACAUGGAGGACAGUAGGAUGCUGCUUCUGUCCUAUGAACUAGAAGCCAAAUAGGAAAACCAUUCAAAGGCUGGUAGAUUUAAGUAUGGUACAGAUAGUUUAAUAUGUCAAAGCUCUGACAGCCUCUAUUUUACGGACUUUGUUAUGAAAAAUAAUAAAAUGCAGCACAGAAAAAGUAAAA